AUGGCCUUUGUCUUUGAAAGACAAGCGAAUUUGUAUUGUUAUUGUUAAUAACAAUACAAUUUUCCUUGCCUUUCAAAGACAAAGUGGCAA
rnacentral:pre_miRNA from 1 species